rnacentral:rRNA from 1 species
UUAAGCGACUAAGCGUACACGGUGGAUGCCCUGGCAGUCAGAGGCGAUGAAGGACGUGCUAAUCUGCGAAAAGCGUCGGUAAGGUGAUAUGAACCGUUAUAACCGGCGAUGUCCGAAUGGGGAAACCCAGUGUGAUUCGUCACACUAUCGUUAACUGAAUACAUAGGUUAACGAGGCGAACCGGGGGAACUGAAACAUCUAAGUACCCCGAGGAAAAGAAAUCAACCGAGAUUCCCCCAGUAGCGGCGAGCGAACGGGGAGCAGCCCAGAGUCUGAAUCAGCUUGUGUGUUAGUGGAACGGUCUGGAAAGUCCGACGGUACAGGGUGAUAGUCCCGUACACCAAAAUGCACAGGUUGUGAACUCGAAGAGUAGGGCGGGACACGUGGUAUCCUGUCUGAAUAUGGGGGGACCAUCCUCCAAGGCUAAAUACUCCUGACUGACCGAUAGUGAACCAGUACCGUGAGGGAAAGGCGAAAAGAACCCCGGCGAGGGGAGUGAAAAAGAACCUGAAACCGUGUACGUACAAGCAGUGGGAGCACCUUCGGGUGUGACUGCGUACCUUUUGUAUAAUGGGUCAGCGACUUAUAUUCUGUAGCAAGGUUAACCGUAUAGGGGAGCCGCAGGGAAACCGAGUCUUAACUGGGCGUUAAGUUGCAGGGUAUAGACCCGAAACCCGGUGAUCUAGCCAUGGGCAGGUUGAAGGUUGGGUAACACUAACUGGAGGACCGAACCGACUAAUGUUGAAAAAUUAGCGGAUGACUUGUGGCUGGGGGUGAAAGGCCAAUCAAACCGGGAGAUAGCUGGUUCUCCCCGAAAGCUAUUUAGGUAGCGCCUCGUGAAUUCAUCUUCGGGGUAGAGCACUGUUUCGGCUAGGGGGUCAUCCCGACUUACCAACCCGAUGCAAACUACGAAUACCGAAGAAUGUUAUCACGGGAGACACACGGCGGGUGCUAACGUCCGUCGUGAAGAGGGAAACAACCCAGACCGCCAGCUAAGGUCCCAAAGUCAUGGUUAAGUGGGAAACGAUGUGGGAAGGCACAGACAGCCAGGAUGUUGGCUUAGAAGCAGCCAUCAUUUAAAGAAAGCGUAAUAGCUCACUGGUCGAGUCGGCCUGCGCGGAAGAUGUAACGGGGCUAAACCAUGCACCGAAGCUGCGGCAGCGACACUAUGUGUUGUUGGGUAGGGGAGCGUUCUGUAAGCCUGCGAAGGUGACCUGUGAGGGUUGCUGGAGGUAUCAGAAGUGCGAAUGCUGACAUAAGUAACGAUAAAGCGGGUGAAAAGCCCGCUCGCCGGAAGACCAAGGGUUCCUGUCCAACGUUAAUCGGGGCAGGGUGAGUCGACCCCUAAGGCGAGGCCGAAAGGCGUAGUCGAUGGGAAACAGGUUAAUAUUCCUGUACUUGGUGUUACUGCGAAGGGGGGACGGAGAAGGCUAUGUUAGCCGGGCGACGGUUGUCCCGGUUUAAGCAUGUAGGCUGGUUAUCCAGGCAAAUCCGGAUAAUCAAGGCUGAGGUGUGAUGACGAGGCACUACGGUGCUGAAGUAACAAAUGCCCUGCUUCCAGGAAAAGCCUCUAAGCAUCAGGUAACAUCAAAUCGUACCCCAAACCGACACAGGUGGUCAGGUAGAGAAUACCAAGGCGCUUGAGAGAACUCGGGUGAAGGAACUAGGCAAAAUGGUGCCGUAACUUCGGGAGAAGGCACGCUGGUGUGUAGGUGAAGUCCCUGCGGAUGGAGCUGAGACCAGUCGAAGAUACCAGCUGGCUGCAACUGUUUAUUAAAAACACAGCACUGUGCAAACACGAAAGUGGACGUAUACGGUGUGACGCCUGCCCGGUGCCGGAAGGUUAAUUGAUGGGGUUAUCCGUAAGGAGAAGCUCUUGAUCGAAGCCCCGGUAAACGGCGGCCGUAACUAUAACGGUCCUAAGGUAGCGAAAUUCCUUGUCGGGUAAGUUCCGACCUGCACGAAUGGCGUAAUGAUGGCCAGGCUGUCUCCACCCGAGACUCAGUGAAAUUGAACUCGCUGUGAAGAUGCAGUGUACCCGCGGCAAGACGGAAAGACCCCGUGAACCUUUACUAUAGCUUGACACUGAACAUUGAGCCUUGAUGUGUAGGAUAGGUGGGAGGCUUUGAAGCGUGGACGCCAGUCUGCGUGGAGCCAACCUUGAAAUACCACCCUUUAAUGUUUGAUGUUCUAACGUUGGCCCCUGACCGGGGUUGCGGACAGUGUCUGGUGGGUAGUUUGACUGGGGCGGUCUCCUCCCAAAGCGUAACGGAGGAGCACGAAGGUUAGCUAAUCCUGGUCGGACAUCAGGAGGUUAGUGCAAUGGCAUAAGCUAGCUUGACUGCGAGCGUGACGGCGCGAGCAGGUGCGAAAGCAGGUCAUAGUGAUCCGGUGGUUCUGAAUGGAAGGGCCAUCGCUCAACGGAUAAAAGGUACUCCGGGGAUAACAGGCUGAUACCGCCCAAGAGUUCAUAUCGACGGCGGUGUUUGGCACCUCGAUGUCGGCUCAUCACAUCCUGGGGCUGAAGUAGGUCCCAAGGGUAUGGCUGUUCGCCAUUUAAAGUGGUACGCGAGCUGGGUUUAGAACGUCGUGAGACAGUUCGGUCCCUAUCUGCCGUGGGCGCUGGAGAAUUGAGGGGGGCUGCUCCUAGUACGAGAGGACCGGAGUGGACGCAUCACUGGUGUUCGGGUUGUCAUGCCAAUGGCACUGCCCGGUAGCUAAAUGCGGAAGAGAUAAGUGCUGAAAGCAUCUAAGCACGAAACUUGCCCCGAGAUGAGUUCUCCCUGAGACUUUAAGUCUCCUGAAGGAACGUUGAAGACGACGACGUUGAUAGGCCGGGUGUGUAAGCGCAGCGAUGCGUUGAGCUAACCGGUACUAAUGAACCGUGAGGCUUAACCUU